AACUUAUCCAGAGAAGCCGAGGGACUGGCCCGUUGACGCUUCAGCAACCUCUGACAUUGUCAGAAAGGUGCUAACUCCAGCAAGAAGAUUUUUUCUUGAGAGAUAAGGA
rfam:Planomicrobium sp. ES2 genome assembly, contig: CONTIG000001